rnacentral:rRNA from 1 species
GACGAACGCUGGCGGCGUGCUUAACACAUGCAAGUCGAACGAUGAAGCUAGAGCUUGCUCUGGUGGGUUAGUGGCGAACGGGUGAGUAACACGUGAGUAACCUGCCCCGAACUCUGGGAUAACUGCUGGAAACGGUAGCUAAUACCGGAUAUGACCAAUGAAGGCAUCUUCUGUUGGUGGAAAGAAUUUCGGUUCGGGAUGGACUCGCGGCCUAUCAGCUUGUUGGUGAGGUAACGGCUCACCAAGGCGACGACGGGUAGCCGGCCUGAGAGGGUGAUCGGCCACACUGGGACGGAGACACGGCCCAGACUCCUACGGGAGGCAGCAGUGGGGAAUAUUGCACAAUGGGCGCAAGCCUGAUGCAGCAACGCCGCGUGAGGGACGACGGCCUUCGGGUUGUAAACCUCUUUUAGUAGGGAAGAAGCGAAAGUGACGGUACCUGCAGAAAAAGCACCGGCUAACUACGUGCCAGCCGCCGCCGUAA